GACGAACGCUGGCGGCGUGCUUAACACAUGCAAGUCGAACGGAGUGGCGAACGGGUGAGUAACACGUGGGUGAUCUGCCCUGCACUUCGGGAUAAGCCUGGGUAACUGGGUCUAAUACCGGAUAGUGUGGGAUGGGCCCGCGGCCUAUCCGCUUGUUGGUGGGGUAAUGGCCUACCAAGGCGGCGACGGGUAGCCGGCCUGAGAGGGUGGACGGGCACAUGGGGACUGAGACACGGCCCAGACGCCUACGGGAGGCAGCAGUGGGGAAUAUUGCUCAAUGGGCGGAAGUCUGAUGCAGCGACGGCGCGUGGGGGAUGACGGCCGUCGCGUUGUAAACUCCGUUCACCAUAGACGCGGUAGAUGGAGAAGAAGCACCGGCUAACUACGUGCCAGCAGCCGCGGUAAUAC
rnacentral:rRNA from 1 species